GGUUAAGCGACUAAGCGUACACGGUGGAUGCCCUGGCAGUCAGAGGCGAUGAAGGACGUGCUAAUCUGCGAUAAGCGUCGGUAAGGUGAUAUGAACCGUUAUAACCGGCGAUUUCCGAAUGGGGAAACCCAGUGUGAUUCGUCACACUAUCAUUAACUGAAUCCAUAGGUUAAUGAGGCGAACCGGGGGAACUGAAACAUCUAAGUACCCCGAGGAAAAAAAAUCAACCGAGAUUCCCCCAGUAGCGGCGAGCGAACGGGGAGGAGCCCAGAGCCUGAAUCAGUGUGUGUGUUAGUGGAAGCGUCUGGAAAGGCGCGCGAUACAGGGUGACAGCCCCGUACACAAAAAUGCACAUGCUGUGAGCUCGAUGAGUAGGGCGGGACACGUGGUAUCCUGUCUGAAUAUGGGGGGACCAUCCUCCAAGGCUAAAUACUCCUGACUGACCGAUAGUGAACCAGUACCGUGAGGGAAAGGCGAAAAGAACCCCGGCGAGGGGAGUGAAAAAGAACCUGAAACCGUGUACGUACAAGCAGUGGGAGCACGCUUAGGCGUGUGACUGCGUACCUUUUGUAUAAUGGGUCAGCGACUUAUAUUCUGUAGCAAGGUUAACCGAAUAGGGGAGCCGAAGGGAAACCGAGUCUUAACUGGGCGUUAAGUUGCAGGGUAUAGACCCGAAACCCGGUGAUCUAGCCAUGGGCAGGUUGAAGGUUGGGUAACACUAACUGGAGGACCGAACCGACUAAUGUUGAAAAAUUAGCGGAUGACUUGUGGCUGGGGGUGAAAGGCCAAUCAAACCGGGAGAUAGCUGGUUCUCCCCGAAAGCUAUUUAGGUAGCGCCUCGUGAAUUCAUCUCCGGGGGUAGAGCACUGUUUCGGCAAGGGGGUCAUCCCGACUUACCAACCCGAUGCAAACUGCGAAUACCGGAGAAUGUUAUCACGGGAGACACACGGCGGGUGCUAA
rnacentral:rRNA from 1 species